UCAGUGAAAUGAGACACUAUCAAAGGCUGCCAGAUUAUGUGGUGGCAAUCUGUGCAUCGAAAAUCAGAGGAAAUGAAUUUUGUGUGGUAGUGUUAGGUCAGCACCAGUCCCGAGCUCUGGCAGAGAGCAUGCUCACCACAAGUGAGUUUUUGAAAGAAAUUAGUUAUGAGCUUAUCACAGGAAAGGUCAGUUUCCUGGCAUCACAUUUCAAAACCACAUCAUUAGGUGAGUGGUUGUAAGAUUUGGCAACACUGCCAGCCCCUAGUUGUAUGAUUUUCUGAAUUUAAAUCUUAGCCUGUCAAGAUGAGUGUGGAGCUCAAGCUUGCCAGCUGAUCUUUCAUUUGAAAUGGUUUGUCCUAAGUAUUUUGUCACUAACACCACAGGAAGCAGUAAGGGGGUCUAGAGGAAGGCACAUUGGUACUGGAUUCAAAAGUCUCAGCUCAG
rnacentral:sRNA from 1 species